rnacentral:rRNA from 1 species
GCGUGAGUGAUGAAGGCCCUAGGGUUGUAAAGCUCUUUCGGCGGGGACGAUAAUGACGGUACCCGCAGAAGAAGCCCCGGCUAACUUCGUGCCAGCAGCCGCGGUAAUACGAAGGGGGCUAGCGUUGUUCGGAAUCACUGGGCGUAAAGCGCACGUAGGCGGAUCGUUAAGUCGGGGGUGAAAUCCCAGGGCUCAACCCUGGAACUGCCUUCGAUACUGGCGAUCUUCGAGUCCGGGAGAGGUGAGUGGAACUCCGAGUGUAGAGGUGAAAUUCGU